rnacentral:piRNA from 1 species
AUGAAUUACAGAUUUCAUUUUGGUGGGUGA